rnacentral:lncRNA from 1 species
UGCUAUAUAAAUGCUUAAUGCGCACUUUUCCAAAACAAAUUUUAUGGGGAGGGGAAAUCCAGCAAAUAAUGGCAUAAUGGUAUUGGCCCGCCAGCCCGCAUCCACUUUAGGAGAAGCCCCGGAUGAGAAACUAAUAUACAACAAAUAGUGGGCUUAAUACUACCAUUUAUUUGAGCGAGUUUGUUUUGGCCGUCGUCGUCGCGUUGCCGUCCUAAAAUCGUAAGGUCUCUAAUAACCCCUCCGUGUGAUCGUUAAAUCACUUGCCAUUAGAUGCCUCUAUAUAUACACCCUUUAGUUACUGCUUUACCCUUUCAGAGAGAUUACGACAUGCAGUCUUGGUUCAUUUAUUUGUUUGAGAAUAAGUUUCACUUUCACUUAAUAUAUACGCCUACUACAUGUUUCGUCGGUUUUAAUAUAGCCUAAUAGCUCAAAGCAACAAGAAAGAAAUUCGUUUUUUACGCCAAAACGUUUUUGUAUACCUAACCAUGCAUGUAUUAAAGGUGAUCUACACUCCGUAUGUAAACAAAGGCUUUGUUUACAUUUUUGUGUCCAAAAUAUUGAGCUUUAUUUGACAACUAUUUAUAUUUUCAAGCUUCUAGAGUAUAAUAAAUUAUUAGACAUAGUUAAACUGUUUGUAUCAUAAAAAGUGAGCUCAUUUGUGCACAUGCGCAG